ACACUCCUGCGGGAGGCAGCAGUGGGGAAUAUUGCACAAUGGGCGCAAGCCUGAUGCAGCCAUGCCGCGUGUAUGAAGAAGGUCUUCGGGUUGUAAAGUACUUUCAGCGGGGAGGAAGGCGAUAAGGUUAAUAACCUUGUCGAUUGACGUUACCCGCAGAAGAAGCACCGGCUAACUCCGUGCCAGCAGCCGCGGUAAUACGGAGGGUGCAAGCGUUAAUCGGAAUUACUGGGCGUAAAGCGCACGCAGGCGGUCUGUCAAGUCGGAUGUGAAAUCCCCAGGCUCAACCUGGGAACUGCAUUCGAAACUGGCAGGCUAGAGUCUUGUAGAGGGGGGUAGAAUUCCAGGUGUAGCGGUGAAAUGCGUAGAGAUCUGGAGGAAUACCGGUGGCGAAGGCGGCCCCCUGGACAAAGACUGACGCUCAGGUGCGAAAGCGUGGGGAGCAAACAGGAUUAGAUACCCCAGUAGUCCCAUGAU
rnacentral:rRNA from 1 species